UACGUAGGGUGCAAGCGUUGUCCGGAAUUAUUGGGCGUAAAGAGCUCGUAGGCGGCUUGUCACGUCGACUGUGAAAACCCGGGGCUCAACUCCGGGCCUGCAGUCGAUACGGGCUGGCUUGAGUGCGGUAGGGGAGACUGGAAUUCCUGGUGUAGCGGUGAAAUGCGCAGAUAUCAGGAGGAACACCAGCGGCGAAGGCGCUGCUCUGGGCCGGUACUGACGCUGAGGAGCGAAAGCGUGGGGAGCGAACAGG
rnacentral:rRNA from 1 species